ACUGGGAUAACUUCGGGAAACCGAAGCUAAUACCGGAUAGGAUCUUCUCCUUCAUGGGAGAUGAUUGAAAGAUGGUUUCGGCUAUCACUUACAGAUGGGCCCGCGGUGCAUUAGCUAGUUGGUGAGGUAACGGCUCACCAAGGCAACGAUGCAUAGCCGACCUGAGAGGGUGAUCGGCCACACUGGGACUGAGACACGGCCCAGACUCCUACGGGAGGCAGCAGUAGGGAAUCUUCCGCAAUGGACGAAAGUCUGACGGAGCAACGCCGCGUGAGUGAUGAAGGCUUUCGGGUCGUAAAACUCUGUUGUUAGGGAAGAACAAGUACGAGAGUAACUGCUCGUACCUUGACGGUACCUAACCAGAAAGCCACGGCUAACUACGUGCCAGCAGCCGCGGUAAUACGUAGGUGGCAAGCGUUAUCCGGAAUUAUUGGGCGUAAAGCGCGCGCAGGCGGUUUCUUAAGUCUGAUGUGAAAGCCCACGGCUCAACCGUGGAGGGUCAUUGGAAACUGGGGAACUUGAGUGCAGAAGAGAAAAGCGGAAUUCCACG
rnacentral:rRNA from 2 species